UCCAGAGAGAGGCCGUGAACAGUGUUACUUGGACCACUGAGAGCUAGAGCUAUGGAAGGGGUGCUACCUAAAAGAGGGGGCCCGCCACAGCUAGAACCAGGCUGCUGAUACCUCUACAUGCCACCUUAUUGUGACUGGAACUGAUUGUCUGAUGCAUUAAACCUGAGUGGAAGAUCCAGCUCUACAGAAUGAAUUACUGAUGCCACACUAAUGCUGAGAUUAACCUUCAAUACUGCCUGGGCUGCUCCACCACGUGCUACAAAUUAGAUGACAUAUACUUCCCUGCUCCAGUGACUUGGGACUUGGUCCUGUGAUUUCCUUUGGUUAAUGGACUGUGAUACAAGAAAUAUUAGGCAAGGCUGCAUGGUUUGGAUUGUCUGCUUGCCCUCUUGUGAUUUGCCAUCAAAAGAACAUGCCUUAGGGAGAUGCUGGCCCAAGAAGAACAUGGUGACACAUAGAGCAGAUGUGAACCCAGUUCUAAGCCUGAAGCCAAGCCCAGCUGACCAGCAACUUGAAACAGGGUCUCCCUGGCUUUCCUACACUCCUACGAUCAAGAAAAAUAGAUGCUGAUUGUUGAAAGCAUUGAGUUUGGAGUGUUUUAUGACUUUGCAGAAAUAACUAAUUAAAAUGUAUGUAUGUCAAGAACAACAUUUAAUACUAGGUGUCUUAGAAUGUGACUACUCAAUACAUAAAAUACACUGGAGAAGGAGUAUGGUUAAGUAUAUUGAAAUUAGGUCUGAGUUUAAACCCUUGCUAUGCAACUUACUAGUUAUGUCUUAGACAAGUUGCCUGACCCCUCUAAACUCAGCCUUCUCAUCUCCAGAAUGUAGAUAAAAGGAAGCUUAUUUCAUAGCGUAUUAUGAGGGUGAAAUAAGAGUGAUCUUGUAAAGGGCCUGGCACAGCGGUUGGCACAGAAUAAAUUGCUUUACUGAAAAAAAACAAGACAUUUAUAGUUGAGCAUUGUAAUUGUUUGUCUGGUUACCUCCAAAGUGUUUUGAGGAUUAAAAACUAUUUCAUUUAAGUUAGUUUUUAGUUCUCCAUUAAUUAUGGUUACAUAACUAAUUUACAUUAUAAACAAUGGGUAUUAAAAAAAGAAAAAUUUUAUUCUAUUUUCAUCCCAAAUAAUUAUGUCUUGAAUUAAUAAAGACUAAAAGAAGUAAUAACUUUUUCUACUGUGGACUGUCUAGUCAUUUGGCACCAUGUGAAGCAUUCUAAAAUAAAAUAAACAAUAUAGCCAAAAUUUACUUGCAAAUAAUUCUGCUAAAUUGCUGUUCAUUAUCAAAUGGCAAAGUCAACAAUCUUUCUAAAAGUUGUUACCUUUCUUCUUUGUCUGAGUAAUAAAAAGCGGUUCUAUAACCUUUAAAAUC
rnacentral:lncRNA from 10 species